UACGGAGGGGGCAAGCGUUGUUCGGAAUUACUGGGCGUAAAGCGCGUGUAGGCUGCCGCGUAAGUCAGAUGUGAAAGCCCUUGGCUCAACCAAGGAAGUGCAUCUGAUACUGCGUCGCUUGAGUGUCGGAGGGGAUGGCGGAAUUCCCGGUGUAGAGGUGAAAUUCGUAGAUAUCGGGAGGAACACCUGUGGCGAAGGCGGCCAUCUGGACGAUAACUGACGCUGAGACGCGAAAGCGUGGGUAGCAAACAGG
rnacentral:rRNA from 1 species